rnacentral:rRNA from 3 species
AGACCCGAAACCCGGUGAUCUAGCCAUGGGCAGGUUGAAGGUUGGGUAACACUAACUGGAGGACCGAACCGACUAAUGUUGAAAAAUUAGCGGAUGACCUGUGGCUGGGGGUGAAAGGCCAAUCAAACCGGGAGAUAGCUGGUUCUCCCCGAAAGCUAUUUAGGUAGCGCCUCGUGAAUUCAUCUCCGGGGGUAGAGCACUGUUUCGGCUAGGGGGCCAUCCCGGCUUACCAACCCGAUGCAAACUGCGAAUACCGGAGAAUGUUAUCACGGGAGACACACGGCGGGUGCUAACGUCCGUCGUGAAGAGGGAAACAACCCAGACCGCCAGCUAAGGUCCCAAAGUCAUGGUUAAGUGGGAAACGAUGUGGGAAGGCCCAGACAGCCAGGAUGUUGGCUUAGAAGCAGCCAUCAUUUAAAGAAAGCGUAAUAGCUCACUGGUCGAGUCGGCCUGCGCGGAAGAUGUAACGGGGCUAAACCAUGCACCGAAGCUGCGGCAGCGACACUGUGUGUUGUUGGGUAGGGGAGCGUUCUGUAAGCCUGUGAAGGUGUGUCGUGAGGCAUGCUGGAGGUAUCAGAAGUGCGAAUGCUGACAUAAGUAACGAUAAAGCGGGUGAAAAGCCCGCUCGCCGGAAGACCAAGGGUUCCUGUCCAACGUUAAUCGGGGCAGGGUGAGUCGACCCCUAAGGCGAGGCCGAAAGGCGUAGUCGAUGGGAAACGGGUUAAUAUUCCCGUACUUGGUGUUACUGCGAAGGGGGGACGGAGAAGGCUAUGUUGGCCGGGCGACGGUUGUCCCGGUUUAAGCGUGUAGGUGUGUGUUCCAGGUAAAUCCGGUUCACUUUAACACUGAGGCGUGACGACGAGGCACUACGGUGCUGAAGCAACAAAUGCCCUGCUUCCAGGAAAAGCCUCUAAGCAUCAGGUAACAUCAAAUCGUACCCCAAACCGACACAGGUGGUCAGGUAGAGAAUACCAAGGCGCUUGAGAGAACUCGGGUGAAGGAACUAGGCAAAAUGGUGCCGUAACUUCGGGAGAAGGCACGCUGACACGUAGGUGAAGUGAUUUACUCAUGGAGCUGAAGUCAGUCGAAGAUACCAGCUGGCUGCAACUGUUUAUUAAAAACACAGCACUGUGCAAACACGAAAGUGGACGUAUACGGUGUGACGCCU